CCUACGGGAGGCAGCAGUGAGGAAUAUUGGUCAAUGGUCGGGAGACUGAACCAGCCAAGCCGCGUGAGGGAGGAAGGUACAGAGUAUCGUAAACCUCUUUUGUCAGGGAACAAAGGCGGGGACGUGUCCCCGGAUGAGUGUACCUGAAGAAAAAGCAUCGGCUAACUCCGUGCCAGCAGCCGCGGUAAUACGGAGGAUGCGAGCGUUAUCCGGAUUUAUUGGGUUUAAGGGGUGCGCAGGCGGUCUGUUAAGUCAGCGGUAAAAGCCCGGGGCUCAACCCCGGCCCGCCGUUGAAACUGGCAGUCUCGAGUUGGAGAGAAGUAUGCGGAAUGCGCGGUGUAGCGGUGAAAUACAUAGAUAUCGCGCAGAACUCCGAUUGCGAAGGCAGCAUGCCGGCUCCACACUGACGCUGAGGCACGAAAGCGUGGGUAUCGAACAGGAUUAGAUACCCUAGUAGUC
rnacentral:rRNA from 1 species